UACGUAGGGACCAAGCGUUGUUCGGAUUUACUGGGCGUAAAGGGCGCGUAGGCGGCCUGGCAAGUCACUUGUGAAAUCUCCGGGCUUAACUCGGAACGGCCAAGUGAAACUGCCACGCUAGAGUGCAGAAGGGGCAAUCGGAAUUCUUGGUGUAGCGGUGAAAUGCGUAGAUAUCAAGAGGAACACCUGAGGUGAAGACGGGUUGCUGGGCUGACACUGACGCUGAGGCGCGAAAGCCAGGGGAGCAAACGGG
rnacentral:rRNA from 1 species